UUUUAAAUAUAUAAAUAUCUGCAAUAUCUCAUUCCAUACCAGACAUUUAUUGAAGCCAAAGUUUAGAGCUUUAAACUUCUAUUCGUGCUCGUGGCAGUGCAUUGCAUAUUCCAAAUCCAACACGCGGGCAUCCCUAAGACGACAGCUAGUUCAAUAUUUUUCAAAUUUCAAGCCACAGCAAAUUUGGUGCAGACUGUGUGUAGAAGAUGAUGAACUGAUUGUGUCAAGAUGGAAAUCGAAACUGAAACUGAUGCAGAGCAAAUCCAAUACACAUGGCACAUGGACUUAACUGGCCGCCAAAGUCGGAUGUCAUAAAUCAAGAGACGUUAACUGAGCCGCCAGACAAAGGAUAAAUGGUCAAAAGUCACAAGUCAAAACACAAAACAAACAGACACCCACACAGCGAGAGGCGAAGUUUUAUGACGGUCAUCGAUGACGAUUGACUAGCCCGGACGCGGACUACCUACGGCAAGGAUUACAAAGGAUUGCCGAACAAUUGUAGUGCAAAUAUUUGCAUAUGCGAGAGCGUUACGCACCCGGAAAAUGUCAAGGACACAGCAAGCAAAACAAAUAGAAUGGAAAGCAAAUGUUAGAGUGGACCUUAAAGUAUUGAGCAAACGUUAAAUGUUUGUGCUUCAGCUGAUUUAAGAAGGGACUUAUAUGCAGCAAAUUAACCACCUGAAGAGUCAGUUGGUUAAGAUUGUUAAGUCUUACAGUUUGCCAGUAGAAGUUUCGAUGGGAAGUCAUUUGGACAGUCAUUCAGUCAAUCAAGUGCAUUCACUUUGUUUUUCGCUUCGAGACGGCACCCCAAAACCAAAGGCCAAUUAUUACUAAUGUGAGCGAGGGGGAUGGGUGGCUGUGAGUUGAAUCGCGACGCGUUGCGUGAAAAUGUUGCACAUUUGCAUAAUGAUAGUA